GGAUGUGAGGGCGAUCUGGCUGCGACAUCUGUCACCCCCUUGAUUGCCAGGGUUGAUUCGGCUGAUUUGGCUGGCUAGGUGGGUGUCCCUUCCUCCCUCACUGCUCCAUGUGCGUCCCUCCCGAAGCUGCACGCUGGGUAGAAGAGGACGACCAUCUCUGAUAGAGGAGGAUCGAUGAGGACCGUUUCUUCGGUCAAGGGUAUACGAGUAGCUGCGCUCCCCUGCUAGAAUCUCCAAACAAGCUCUCAAAAGACUGAAAACUAAUACUGCAACAUAUUAAUAUUUGCAUGUCGAUGUUGAGAUUACUACUGAUAUUUUUCUUCUU
rnacentral:snRNA from 1 species